rnacentral:rRNA from 1 species
GACGAACGCUGGCGGCGUGCUUAACACAUGCAAGUCGAACGAAGUGGCGAACGGGUGAGUAACGCGUAAUCAACCUGCCCUUCCGAGGGGGAUAAAAGUUGGAAACGACUGCUAAUACCGCAUACUGAAGGAGGGGAUUGCGUCUGAUUAGCUAGUUGGAGGGGAAACGGCCCACCAAGGCGAUGAUCAGUAGCCGGUCGGAGAGGUGGAACGGCCACAUUGGGACUGUGACACUGCCCAGACUCCUACGGGAGGCAGCAGUGGGGAAUCUUCCGCAAUGGACGUAUGUCUGACGGAGCAACGACGCGUGAGUGAUGACGGCCUUCGGGUUGUAAAGCUCUGUUAAUCGGGACGCGGUACCGGAAUAGAAAGCCACGGCUAACUACGUGCCAGCCGCCGCGGUAAUUC